UAACGUCCCAGUUCGGAUUGUAGUCUGCAACCCGACUACAUGAAGCUGGAAUCGCUAGUAAUCGCGAAUCAGAAUGUCGCGGUGAAUACGUUCCCGGGUCUUGUACACACCGCCGUCACACCAUGGGAGUCGGAAAUGCCCGAAGUCAGUGACCCAACCGUAAGGAGGGAGCUGCCGAAGGUGGAGCCGGUAACUGGGGUGAAGUCGUAACAAGGUACC
rnacentral:rRNA from 1 species